GUCCUUUUGAUUAUAAUAUAAGGUCUAACCUGCCCACUGAAAAUUUAAAGGGCCGCAGUAUUUUGACUGUGCAAAGGUAGCAUAAUAAUUAGUUUCUUAAUUAGAAGCUGGUAUGAAUGGUUGAACGAGAAAUUAGCUGUCUCAAUUUAUAAGUUAAAAUUUUAUUUUUAAGUUAAAAAGCUUAAAUUUUUUUAAAAGACGAGAAGACCCUAUAGAGUUUUAUAAUUAUUGAAAUUUUAAUUUUAGUAUUUUUUUUAUUUUAAUAAUUAUUUUAUUGGGGUGAUAUAUAAAUUUAAUUAACUUUAUAUUUUUAAUAACAUAAAUUAAUGAUUUUUUGAUCCAUUAUUAAUGAUUAUAAGAAAAAAUUACCUUAGGGAUAACAGCGUAAUUUUUUUUUAGAGUUCUAAUCGAAAAAAAAGGUUGCGACCUCGAUGUUGGAUUAAAGUUAAUUUUUGGUGUAGAAGCUAUAAAAUUAGGUCUGUUCGACCUUUAAAACUUUACAUGAUCUGAGUUUAGACCGGCGUGAGCCAGGUUGGUUUCUAUCUUUAAAUAUUUUAAAUAUUUUAGUACGAAAGGACCAAGUAUUUUUAAAAUUUAAUUUUUAAUUGAAUA
rnacentral:rRNA from 1 species